rnacentral:rRNA from 1 species
AAUAGAUACCCUGGUAGUCCACGCCGUAAACGAUGAGUGCUAAGUGUUAGGGGGUUUCCGCCCCUUAGUGCUGCAGCUAACGCAUUAAGCACUCCGCCUGGGGAGUACGGUCGCAAGACUGAAACUCAAAGGAAUUGACGGGGGGCCCGCACAAGCGGUGGAGCAUGUGGUUUAAUUCGAAGCAACGCGAAGAACCUUACCAGGUCUUGAUAUCCCGUUGACCACUGUAGAGAUAUAGUUUCCCCUUCGGGGGCAACGGUGACGGGUGGUGCAUGGUUGUCGUCAGCUCGUGUCGUGAGAUGUUGGGUUAAGUCCCGCAACGAGCGCAACCCUUGAUCUUAGUUGCCAUCAUUUAGUUGGGCACUCUAAGGUGACUGCCGGUGACAAACCGGAGGAAGGUGGGGAUGACGUCAAAUCAUCAUGCCCCUUAUGACCUGGGCUACACACGUGCUACAAUGGACGAUACAAACGGUUGCCAACUCGCGAGAGGGAGCUAAUCCGAUAAAGUCGUUCUCAGUUCGGAUUGUAGGCUGCAACUCGCCUA